CAGCAGCCGCGGUAAUACGUAGGUCCCGAGCGUUGUCCGGAUUUAUUGGGCGUAAAGCGAGCGCAGGCGGUUAGAUAAGUCUGAAGUUAAAGGCUGUGGCUUAACCAUAGUACGCUUUGGAAACUGUUUAACUUGAGUGCAAGAGGGGAGAGUGGAAUUCCAUGUGUAGCGGUGAAAUGCGUAGAUAUAUGGAGGAACACCGGUGGCGAGAGCGACUCUCUGGUCUGUAACUGACGCUGAGGAGCGAAAGCGUGGGGAGCGAACAGGAUUAGAUACCCCCGUAGUCCCUGUCUCUUAUACA
rnacentral:rRNA from 1 species